rnacentral:snoRNA from 1 species
CAUCAAGUUUCCAAGGGCUGUGGCCAUUAAUGGCCAUGGGAUCUCCAACUGCAUGCUACAGCAACCCGGAGAGACUUUGACAGCUCAGGUCAACAUAGUGCCUACGGCUGCCACUCGCCUUUCCUAUAAAG